rnacentral:rRNA from 1 species
GACGAACCGUGCGAACGUUGUUCGGAAUCACUGGGCUUAAAGGGCGCGUAGGCGGCAGUUCAAGUCCGGGGUGAAAUCCUCCAGCUCAACUGGAGAAGUGCCUUGGAUACUGGAUUGCUCGAGGGAGGUAGGGGUCGAGGGAACUUCUGGUGGAGCGGUGAAAUGCGUUGAUAUCAGAAGGAACGCCGGUGGCGAAAGCGCUCGACUGGACCUCUUCUGACGCUGAGGCGCGAAAGCUAGGGGAGCAAACGGGG